GCAAGCGCCGCGCGCAGCCCGGGUUCCCGCUCGCGCCUCUCCUUCCACACCUGCCUGCAAGCUGAGGGAGCCGGUUCCGGCCUUGGCCAGCCCAGAAAGGGGCUCCCACAGUGCAGCGGUGGGCUGAAGGUUCCUCAAGUGCCUCUAAAGUGGGAGCCCAGGCAGAGGAGAGCGAGCGAGGGCUGUGAGGCCUGCCAGCACGCUGUGACCUCUCAGAAGUACACACUUGGCUGGAAAGAGAAGACUCUAUAGAGGAGGAACUUACAGCCAGGACCCUGGUUGAAUCAGUACUUAAAAAUGCUCUUAUGAGAAAGGGCAGAGCUGCAUUUUACUUAACCUAAACUCAUUUUUCACAAAGCCCCAAGACCUGGAUGACCAGGAAGCCAGCAACUCGACCAGAAUGGCAGGCUGUGGAAAGAAGUCAUUUGGUGAGCUUCAGACUGAAGUAAAAGAGCCAGAAGAUUAUAGGACUCCCCUUCCUCCAGGACCUGAAGAUGGAAUCCCCAGAGUCUUAAGAGGAGCCACCAGAAAAAGAUCAAAAGACAUCUACUAGAAGCUUUCUUCGAUACCACCUGAGUUCACUGUAGAAGGCAACUUUGGUGAGUAAGUAAAAGUUCAAAAUGCAUUUGUGUGGAAUAAAUUGCUUUCUAGCAUUCUUUCUCAUAGAAGACACAUAAUAUACCUACACUAAAGAUAAAAUGGAAUUUUUAACCUAUGUAGUCAUUAACAAUGUUUUAAAUGAGUUUGUGUAAAACAGAAAGAAAUUGGCAAGGAAAAUAAAAAGUUUUCUAAAUUUGGGUAGGGAAGUGGGAUAUUGUGAUUUUUCUUUCUCUUUUAAUAAACUACUUAGAAAAAAAAACAUUUAGAAAAAACUAAGAAAGUCAAAGAAUGAGGUAACAUUUGACAGAUUAUCAAUCUUGUUAUUUCUGCUUUUUAUUUCUCUACUUGUCUUUCUGUUAUUGAAUGUUUCUCUUAAACCUAGUAGAUCAUUGGAUAAAAGUUACUUUGCUUUUAUUUUAAUUUUCUAGCAUGUUGGUAUUUAUUUCUCAGUGCAGUACACCUAUUGUGAUUUAGUUUUGUUGAAAAUUUAUGGCAUUGCAGUUUGAAAGAUGGAAGAAUUGUUGACUAUAACUUAAUGUAUUUUCUCUAGAAACCCUUCUAGAAAUCCUUCUAGGGAAAAUAAAUACAGCUUAAGUUUUGGUUUUGCUGAGAUACAUGGAAUUCUUUUCAGCUCUUUAGUAUUAAUGGAUUAUUUUAUUAUAAUAUCACAUAAAUAUGUCUGUGGACCUCAAAAUAUAAAACUCUUAUAAUCUUAGUUUUUAAUAUGUAGUUAUAAACAAAAGUAAAUUUGUAAAUUAAUAUAAGGAGAAGCUAAAAACAAUAAAAGUAGCAUGAAAUCAAUGAAA
ensembl:lncRNA novel transcript